AAUAUCCUAUAAUAUUAUAUAAUUGAUCGAAAUCUUCUUAUUUUUAUUAUAUUGUAUUAUUAUACCUUUGUUAAAAAGGAGAGGUAAGUUUUACUUUUUUGUUUGUUGCUCGCGUAAGGGUAUCCAUAAAACAGACCUUGGGUUUAACUGUUUAUAAUAAUAAGUUAUAAAAUUAAAAUUAGCUCAAAUGGCUCGCACAUACCAGUGAUUGUUGCAAAAUAUAAAGGCCUAUUAAAGCCAACAGGCGUUAAUUAGGUAAUUUACAGCAGAUUUGAUCGUUCUUGGUGUAAUAUGGUAUUUUUGGCCGAUAUCAAAUAUGCGACUGAAAUUUGUUUUUAUACCGGUUAUAUUAUUCCGCAGCAAUGGUCCUCCUAUAACCGCAGCUAUAAUCCAUUUAUAGGGGGUAUUGUUGGUUAAUUAUAGUUUCCCGGAUGGAAAUAUUGCUUGGAGGCGAAAAAAGUAGAUAAACGGGCGAAAAUCCAUCCAAUAUAUAUAUUGGUAGGUGUAUAUAAUAGCCAAAAUGUGCCGUUAAAUGGAAAGGAAGAAUUACAACCAAAAGGCAUGCGAUUCGGUCGCUUUAGGACAAAGAUUACUUUAAGAUAACUAAGUUAAAUAACGAAAAAACUUUUAUAAAAGCGGUACGUCGAUAAAUAUACGCUAUAUUAUACAAUAAUAUAUAUUUUCAGCGAUAAAAUGCAAAAUGGAAAGGGACGGUGUUUUCUAAAGCUGGUUUUUUAACGAUAUAUACCCACGUUAACCCAAAUAAACUUAUAAAACGGUUAGGGAAAAUGUAAUAUAGGGUUGAAAUAUUUACUGGGACCUUUACAAACGAUCGAGCUGCAUGCAUUUGGAAAGGAUAAUGGUUUUCCUUUUAUAACCUUGUUCCUAACCUACAAUUGUUUGGAAAACGUUAAUAUUUUCCGCCUUUAAUUUCCAUUUCCAGCAACGGUGCAAACAGGGUUCGUGGAUAAAGGCGUGCAAAAGUGGAGACGUAAGGGUAUAAUGGGUGGAUAGGUUAUAUACCCAAUAAAGCAGCUAGAACAAACCUAGAUUUCGUUGCUAGCCCUGGUUUAAAGGUUUAACAGUUGCGUAUAAAACGGAUUAAUAUUACCAAUGUUUGGCAACUCCGAUAAAUAUACGAUAUUAUAUAUAUAUAUAUCGAUUGCUAAUAUUUUGUUUUGCCCAUCAAUUGUUAAUACUGGCCUGAAGCGCUCCCAUCGCAUAAUAAUUACUGGCCUACUGCGUUUCGAUAUUUGUUCCCCGCAAACGCCCGCGAAUUGCAAUAUCCGCGCAUAUAAAAGCAAAACAAAUAAAAACACCGCUUUGGAUUAAUAUCUUUUAUAUAAUACGAGCGGAUUUUUAAUAAAUUUGGCACAUUUUCUGAAAAUUAUUAUUAGCAAAGCUAAUCUAAUGUGCUAACCUGGCGAAUAUCGCGAUAUCCGCUUUUUUUGCACCCAAAAAAUACCAAAUAAAAACAACCACGAAACAAAUAAACAAUUUCCAUAAAAUUAACGUUUGUUCGAAUUUUUGCAGGGAUUUUAUAUAAAGCUAUCCGUCCUCCAUAAAUUUGGGCGCCAAACUUUUAUUAUAAAAAAAUUAGUUAAAUUGAAAUUCAAUUGCCGAAAAACAUAAUAUUUACAUAUUAUCAUCCCUCGAAAACUUAAAUUUUUGGGCAUUUUGUACAAUUGGAGCAAAAAAGCAAAACGUCCCCAAUCCCAAAACCCCGGUUAGCGCGGCCGAGGAAAAGGCUGCUAAAUACAGCGGAAAACCUGCUUAAUUAAAAACUUUAACGAAGGUAAUAAAAGCCGAUUUAAUUUUUAACAGGGUUUUACCGAUAGUAGCAAACGAGUCGGAUUUGCGGAUUAGUCGUUUUAUUAAACGGUCGGUUGUUCUUUUUAAUAUUUCGUCUGUAAUAAUAUUUAAAAUGGGUUUUAUAAAACCCUAUAAACGUUCCUGAAGGAGGUCCAAAAGGAAAGAAAUAACGGUAAAUAGAUUAUUUUCGACAUGCAGGAGAAAUAGGAUGGGAUUAUACCCGACGCACAUUAAUAAUAAAAAUAUGUAGGGAAUAUAUUAAUAAUUCCACCAAAUAUCCCUAGGGCGGUAAUUGCCGAACAAAUGAGAUUUUUCGGUUACAACUAUUUUAUAACGAUAUAAAAUAAACCGUUUGUGGCGACUAUUAUUGGGAAAUAGUUGUACCUGUGGUUUUAUUAUAUCCAAUUUAUUUAUUAUAUUUUUUCGGAACUGUGGAUAAUUUCGCCAUCGUCUUCCACUGGACGACGUAAUAGGAUAAUAAAGUUGUGCGAUACAAAUAGCAGCUAGCCCCACCGGCAAUUAUUAUAACGGUUUAAAAAUUCUAAAUUUCACAAUACGAAAUCUGCCCCUGCUAAUAAUAAUAUCUGGAUCCGGUCCAGGGCGGCUAAGGUUUGAUUUUUUUUCUUUUUGGGUUAUAAAAUACGGCCAGGAAAUUUAUAUAGCACAACAUAUUUGGAAAUUUAUCAUGCAUAUUACAUCCGAGUAGUUUGGACGGUGCAGUUCAAUUUAUUAAUCCCGGUAUAAUUAACAUCCCUUUUAUUCGGCAGGAUUACAAAUCUGGGCAGCGCACCCCUAUAUUUAAUAAGAAACCGUUAUAUUUU
rnacentral:sRNA from 1 species